rnacentral:rRNA from 1 species
AACGAACGCUGGCGGCAUGCCUAACACAUGCAAGUCGAACGAGACCUUCGGGUCUCGUGGCGCACGGGUGCGUAACGCGUGGGAACCUGCCCUUAGGUUCGGAAUAAAUCCCCGAAAGGGGUGCUACUUCCGGAUAAUGUCUUCGGACCAAAGAUUUAUCGCCUUUGGAUGUGCCCGCGUUGGAUUAGCUAGUUGGUAGGGUAAAAGCCUACCAAGGCGACGAUCCAUAGCUGGUCUGAGAGGAUGAUCAGCCACACUGGGACUGAGACACGGCCCAGACUCCUACGGGAGGCAGCAGUGGGGAAUAUUGGACAAUGGGCGAAAGCCUGAUCCAGCAAUGCCGCGUGAGUGAUGAAGGCCGUAGGGUUGUAAAGCGCUUUUACCCGGGAUGAUAAUGACAGUACCGGGAGAAUAAGCUCCGGCUAACUCCGUG